UGGAACUGGUCUUUUCGUGGACCUAAGAUCAGUCUACUGAAGGACCCUAAUACUCCUCUCCAGCUUCUAACUCCUCCACUCCGUCUCACUUUGUAAUAAAUAGUUUUCUUUCCCUUCUCUUGUCUCCAGCAAAGAGCUUUGGUAGGGCACAGAGAUCCUUCCAACUUCGAGCUAGCUAAAAACAUUCUACCUCCAAAUGUGGAAACUCCCGGAGGUUCUCAGGGUGGUGACGAUGCUAUGGUGUAGGGUGGUUCUCGUGCAUCUGGGUUGUGGCUCACUAUUGAGUCCUUUUUGAAGAACUAUGUGUUUAGUUUUAAAUUCCUUGCUUUAUGAGCUGUCUUUUGCAUGACAAUUGUACUCUUAUGUUUUGUUUAAGGCAUUGUGGCAUGCCUAAGUUUUAUUUCUAGUGUAUCCAUGGAUGACUAUAAUGGUGAAUCCUUUUAUGUACUGUUCA